rnacentral:rRNA from 1 species
AGGAGAGUUUGAUCCUGGCUCAGGAUGAACGCUGGCGGCGUGCCUAACACAUGCAAGUCGAACGGAGUUAUUCGCUGAUGAAGCUUCGGCAGAUUCUUGAAUAACUUAGUGGCGGACGGGUGAGUAACGCGUGGGUAACCUACCUCAUACAGGGGGAUAGCAGUUGGAAACGACUGAUAACACCGCAUAAGCGCACAGUAUCGCAUGAUACAGUGUGAAAAUAUUUAUAGGUAUGAGAUGGACCCGCGUCUGAUUAGCUAGUUGGUGAGGUAACGGCCCACCAAGGCGACGAUCAGUAGCCGGCCUGAGAGGGCGGACGGCCACAUUGGGACUGAGACACGGCCCAAACUCCUACGGGAGGCAGCAGUGGGGGAUAUUGCACAAUGGGCGAAAGCCUGAUGCAGUGACGCCGCGUGAGUGAAGAAGUAUUUCGGUAUGUAAAGCUCUAUCAGCAGGGAAGAAAGACCUCGUAAGAGGGGAUGACGGUACCUGAGUAAGAAGCCCCGGCUAACUACGUGCCAGCAGCCGCGGUAAUACGUAGGGGGCAAGCGUUAUCCGGAUUUACUGGGUGUAAAGGGAGCGUAGACGGUAUAUCAAGUCUGAAGUGAAACCCCACGGCUCAACCGUGGGCUUGCUUUGGAAACUGGUAUACUAGAGUACUGGAGAGGUAAGCGGAAUUCCUGGUGUAGUAGUGAAAUGCGUAGAUAUUAGGAGGAACACCAGUGGCGAAGGCGACUUUUUGGGCUAUAACUGACGCUGAGGCACGAAAGUGUGGGGAGCAAACAGGAUUAGAUACCAUGGUAGUCCCCU